AGAGUUUGAUCCUGGCUCAGAUUGAACGCUGGCGGCAUGCCUUACACAUGCAAGUCGAACGGCAGCACGGGAGCUUGCUCCUGGUGGCGAGUGGCGAACGGGUGAGUAAUAUAUCGGAACGUACCCUAGAGUGGGGGAUAACGCAGCGAAAGUUGCGCUAAUACCGCAUACGAUCUACGGAUGAAAGUGGGGGAUCGCAAGACCUCAUGCUCAUGGAGCGGCCGAUAUCUGAUUAGCUAGUUGGUGGGGUAAAGGCCUACCAAGGCAUCGAUCAGUAGCUGGUCUGAGAGGACGACCAGCCACACUGGAACUGAGACACGGUCCAGACUCCUACGGGAGGCAGCAGUGGGGAAUUUUGGACAAUGGGGGCAACCC
rnacentral:rRNA from 1 species